UACGUAGGGUGCAAGCGUUGUCCGGAAUUAUUGGGCGUAAAGAGCUCGUAGGCGGUUUGUUGCGUCGGCUGUGAAAACCUGAGGCUCAACCUCAGGCCUGCAGUCGAUACGAGCAGACUAGAGUGUUGCAGGGGAGACUGGAAUUCCUGGUGUAGCGGUGAAAUGCGCAGAUAUCGGGAGGAACACCAGUGGCGAAGGCGGCGAUCUGGGCAGAUACUGACGCUGAGGUGCGAAAGCGUGGGGGAGCAAACAGG
rnacentral:rRNA from 1 species